GAUGAAGAACGUAGCGAAAUGCGAUAAGUAAUGUGAAUUGCAGAAUUCAGUGAAUCAUCGAGUCUUUGAACGCACAUUGCGCCCCCUGGUAUUCCGGGGGGCAUGUCUGUCCGAGCGUCAUUGCUGCCCUCAAGCACGGCUUGUGUGUUGGGCCGUCGUCCCCCUCCUAGGGGACGGGCCCGAAAGGCAGCGGCGGCACCGCGUCCGGUCCUCGAGCGUAUGGGGCUUCGUCACCCGCUCCGUAGGCCCGGCCGGCGCUUGCCGACGACCAUCAAUCUCUUUCUCCAGGUUGACCUCGGAUCAGGUAGGGAUACCCGCUGAACUUAAGCAUAUCAAUAAGCGGAGGA
rnacentral:misc_RNA from 1 species